GACGAACGCUGGCGGCGUGCUUAACACAUGCAAGUCGAACGGACAGGCCCUGCUUUUGUGGGGUGCUCGAGUGGCGAACGGGUGAGUAACACGUGAGUAACCUGCCCUUGACUUUGGGAUAACUUCAGGAAACUGGGGCUAAUACCGGAUAGGAGCUCCUGCUGCAUGGUGUGGGUUGGAAAGUUUCGGCGGUUGGGGAUGGACUCGCGGCUUAUCAGCUUGUUGGUGGGGUAGUGGCUUACCAAGGCAUUGACGGGUAGCCCACCGGAGAGGGUAGCCGGCGUAACUAGGAGUGAGAUACGGCGCAGACGUCUAACGGGAGCAGGAGGGGGAAAGAAUAAAGAGAGAUGGGAAGGCUGAUGCGAAAAGGUCGCGUGGGGGAUGAUGGGGUGGCGGUUGUAAACACGUUUAGCCUGCUACGAAGCGUGCGUGACGGUAAAGAAUAAAUAAGCAUCGGCUAACUACGUG
rnacentral:rRNA from 1 species